AUGGUCAACCUCCCUAAGAGAUUUGGGUCUUUUAUACCUUCUUCCAUUUUGCUCAAUUGUUUGGAUUCAUGGAAGAAAUAUCGGUUCAUCGCUCGGCCCCAUCUUGGGAUGAUGUUUGAGGCCAUCAAGCAUCUAGAGCCUGCUCAUGUUGACAUGUUAUGGCGUAUGUAUAACAUUGAUCAUGGUCUUAUUGUUCAAGAGGUGUCGAAAGGAUCUAAUGCUGAGAUACUCGGAAUCCAAAAAGGUGAUGUUAUUGAAUCUAUCAAUGGAAAACCUGUUUCUACCACAAUUGAGUUGGAGAAUAUGCUGAUGAGCACAUGCAAGGGCCUUGCUGAAGUUCAUAUUUCUGUUGGGGUGUUUCACACACUCAAAGAAGAACGAAGCACCGUACAGUUGAGUGCAAAAUUAUCAAAACUUGGAGAAGUUAUUACAAGCUAG
rnacentral:rRNA from 1 species